GACGAACGCUGGCGGCGUGCUUAACACAUGCAAGUCGAACGGAAAGGCCCUGCUUUUGUGGGGUGCUCGAGUGGCGAACGGGUGAGUAACACGUGAGUAACCUGCCCUUGACUUUGGGAUAACUUCAGGAAACUGGGGCUAAUACCGGAUAGGAGCUCCUGCUGCAUGGUGGGGGUUGGAAAGUUUCGGCGGUUGGGGAUGGACUCGCGGCUUAUCAGCUUGUUGGUGGGGUAGUGGCUUACCAAGGCUUUGACGGGUAGCCGGCCUGAGAGGGUGACCGGCCACAUUGGGACUGAGAUACGGCCCAGACUCCUACGGGAGGCAGCAGUGGGGAAUAUUGCACAAUGGGCGGAAGCCUGAUGCAGCAACGCCGCGUGCGGGAUGACGGCCUUCGGGUUGUAAACCGCUUUCGCCUGUGACGAAGCGUGAGUGACGGUAAUGGGUAAAGAAGCACCGGCUAACUACGUGCCAGCAGCCGCGGUGAUACGUAGGGUGCGAGCGUUGUCCGGAUUUAUUGGGCGUAAAGGGCUCGUAGGUGGUUGAUCGCGUCGGAAGUGUAAUCUUGGGGCUUAACCCUGAGCGUGCUUUCGAUACGGGUUGACUUGAGGAAGGUAGGGGAGAAUGGAAUUCCUGGUGGAGCGGUGGAAUGCGCAGAUAUCAAGAGGAACACCAGUGGCGAAGGCGGUUCUCUGGGCCUUUCCUGACGUUGAGGAGCGAAAGCGUGGGGAGCGAACAGGCUUAGAUACCCUGGUAGUCCACGCUGUAAACGGUGGGUACUAGGUGUGGGGUCCAUUCCACGGGUUCCGUGCCGUAGCUAACGCUUUAAGUACCCCGCCUGGGGAGUACGGCCGCAAGGCUAAAACUCAAAGGAAUUGACGGGGCCCCGCACAAGCGGCGGAGCAUGCGGAUUAAUUCGAUGCAACGCGUAGAACCUUACCUGGGUUUGACAUGGAUCGGGAGUGCUCAGAGAUGGGUGUGCCUCUUUUGGGGUCGGUUCACAGGUGGUGCAUGCCUGUCGUCAGCUCGUGUCGUGAGAUGUUGGGUUAAGUCCCGCAACGAGCGCAACCCUUGUUCACUGUUGCCAGCACGUUAUGGUGGGGACUCAGUGGAGACCGCCGGGGUCAACUCGGAGGAAGGUGGGGAUGACGUCAAGUCCUCAUGCCCCUUAUGUCCAGGGCUUCACGCAUGCUACAAUGGCUGGUACAGAGAGUGGCGAGCCUGUGAGGGUGAGCGAAUCUCGGAAAGCCGGUCUCAGUUCGGAUUGGGGUCUGCAACUCGACCUCAUGAAGUCGGAGUCGCUAGUAAUCGCAGAUCAGCAACGCUGCGGUGAAUACGUUCCCGGGGCU
rnacentral:rRNA from 1 species